rnacentral:tRNA from 1 species
GGUGGCUCAGUGGUAGAGUGCUUGCCUUGCAUGCAUGUUGCCCUGGGUUCGAUUCCUCAGCACCA